rnacentral:rRNA from 1 species
UACGGAGGGUGCAAACGUUGCUCGGAAUCAUUGGGCGUAAAGCGCACGUAGGCGGCGCGUUAAGUCGGGUGUGAAAGCCCUGGGCUCAACCCAGGAAGUGCAUUCGAAACUGGCGCGCUUGAAUAUGGAAGAGGGUCGCGGAAUUCCCGGUGUAGAGGUGAAAUUCGUAGAUAUCGGGGAGGAACACUAGUGGCGAAGGCGGCGACCUGGGCCAAUAUUGACGCUGAG